rnacentral:sRNA from 1 species
GGAUUACUCCUUUACGCUUUCGCGUUUGGUUGAUAAAGAUUCGCACCUCUAUCAAACCGGGUAAUCCCACCUCUUGGCAAGACCUGCUGUCAGAUCAAAUCUGAACUACUACAACUGAUUAAGCCCAAAGCAUUACCAAACGGGUCAAUUAAAAUGCAUGCAUACUCGUUU